rnacentral:pre_miRNA from 1 species
UUUCUACUCCCUCCGUCCGAAAAUACUUGUCAUCAAAAUGCAUAAAAAGAGAUGUAUCUAAAACUAAAAUACGUCUAGAUACAUUUCCUUUUAUCCAUUUUGAUGACAAGUAUUUCCGGACGGAGGGAGUAUUUG